CGCGGGGUAGAGCAGCCCGGUAGCUCGUCAGGCUCAUAACCUGAAGGCCGCAGGUUCAAAUCCUGCCCCCGCAA
rfam:Paracoccus yeei strain FDAARGOS_252, complete genome.